GAUGAAGAACGUAGCGAAUUGCGAUAAGUAAUGUGAAUUGCAGAUUUUCAGUGAAUCAUCGAAUCUUUGAACGCACCUUGCGCUCCUUGGUAUUCUGAGGAGCAUGCCUGUUUGAGUGUCAUUGAAUCCUCAAGGCCCCCUUUUCCUGCCCUUCCUUUUCAAGCUUGGGCUUUAGGGGACUUUGGACUUUGGGAGCGCUGCGGUGCCAGGCUUUCUCCGGCUCCGCUCUCCUCAAAUGCAUCAGUAGGGCCCCUCAUCCCUUUCGGGUCUUUGCGGCGUUGAUAGUCGUCCACGCCUCUGCCCGUUGGGUCCGUUGGGUCUCACCUGCUCCCUCAACCCCCCACGUUUUUCUUUAAACGCUUUUGACCUCAAAUCAGGUAGGACUACCCGCUGAACUUAAGCAUAUCAAUAAGCGGAGGA
rnacentral:misc_RNA from 1 species